CGAGUGAAGCGGCAACAGCUCAAAUUUGAAAUCUGGCCCAGGCCCGAGUUGUAAUUUGCAGAGGAUGCUUUUGGCAAGGUGCCUUCCGAGUUCCCUGGAACGGGACGCCAUAGAGGGUGAGAGCCCCGUCUGGUCGGACACCGAGCCUCUGUAAAGCUCCUUCGACGAGUCGAGUAGUUUGGGAAUGCUGCUCAAAAUGGGAGGUAUAUGUCUUCUAAAGCUAAAUACCGGCCAGAGACCGAUAGCGCACAAGUAGAGUGAUCGAAAGAUGAAAAGCACUUUGAAAAGAGAGUUAAAUAGCACGUGAAAUUGUUGAAAGGGAAGCGUUUAUGACCAGACUUGGCCCGGUUGAUCAUCCAGCGUUCUCGCUGGUGCACUCUGCCGGUCCAGGCCAGCAUCAGUUCGUCGCGGGGGAUAAAGGUUUCGGGAAUGUGGCUCCUCCGGGAGUGUUAUAGCCCGUUGCGUAAUACCCUGCGGUGGACUGAGGUCCGCGCUCUGCAAGGAUGCUGGCGUAAUGGUCAUCAACGACCCGUCUUGAAACACGGACCAAGGAGUCGUCUUCGUAUGCGAGUGUUCGGGUGUAAAACCCCUACGCGUAAUGAAAGUGAACGCAGGUGAGAGCUUCGGCGCAUCAUCGACCGAUCCUGAUGUUCUCGGAUGGAUUUGAGUAAGAGCAUACGGGGCCGGACCCGAAAGAAGGUGAACUAUGCCUGUAUAGGGUGAAGCCAGAGGAAACUCUGGUGGAGGCUCGCAGCGGUUCUGACGUGCAAAUCGAUCGUCAAAUAUGGGCA
rnacentral:rRNA from 1 species